CGCCGAAAGAUCGGCCCGCGUCUGAUUAGCUUGUUGGUGAGGUAAUGGCUCACCAAGGCGACGAUCAGUAGCUGGUCUGAGAGGAUGAUCAGCCACAUUGGGACUGAGACACGGCCCAAACUCCUACGGGAGGCAGCAGUGGGGAAUAUUGGACAAUGGGCGCAAGCCUGAUCCAGCCAUGCCGCGUGAGUGAUGAAGGCCCUAGGGUUGUAAAGCUCUUUUGUGCGGGAAGAUAAUGACGGUACCGCAAGAAUAAGCCCCGGCUAACUUCGUGCCAGCAGCCGCGGUAAUACGAAGGGGGCUAGCGUUGCUCGGAAUUACUGGGCGUAAAGGGUGCGUAGGCGGGUCUUUAAGUCAGAGGUGAAAUCCUGGAGCUCAACUCCAGAACUGCCUUUGAUACUGAGGAUCUUGAGUUCGGGAGAGGUGAGUGGAACUGCGAGUGUAGAGGUGAAAUUCGUAGAUAUUCGCAAGAACACCAGU
rnacentral:rRNA from 1 species